AAACCAACCGGGAUUGCCUUAGUAACGGCGAGUGAAGCGGCAAAAGCUCAAAUUUGAAAUCUGGCGUCUUCGACGUCCGAAUUGUAAUUUGAAGAAGGCAACUUUGUAGCUGGUCCUUGUCUAUGUUCCUUGGAACAGGACGUCAUAGAGGGUGAGAAUCCCGUGUGGCGAGGAUCCCAGUUAUUUGUAAAGUGCUUUCGACGAGUCGAGUUGUUUGGGAAUGCAGCUCUAAGUGGGUGGUAAAUUCCAUCUAAAGCUAAAUAUUGGCGAGAGACCGAUAGCGAACAAGUACAGUGAUGGAAAGAUGAAAAGAACUUUGAAAAGAGAGUGAAAAAGUACGUGAAAUUGUUGAAAGGGAAGGGCAUUUGAUCAGACAUGGCGUUUGCUUCGGCUUUCGCUGGGCCAGCAUCAGUUUUAGCGGUCGGAUAAAUCCUCGGGAAUGUGGCUCUGCUUCGGUAGAGUGUUAUAGCCCGUGGGAAUACAGCCAGCUGGGACUGAGGAUUGCGACUUUUGUCAAGGAUGCUGGCGUAAUGGUUAAAUGCCGC
rnacentral:rRNA from 1 species